rnacentral:rRNA from 1 species
GAUGUACGCUGGCGGCGUGCCUAACACAUGCAAGUCGAACGGAGUCCAGCCUUUAAGACCUUCGGGUCAAAGAGGGGAAGACUGAGUGGCGGACGGGUGAGUAACACGUGGGCAACCUGGCUCAUAGAGGGGGAUAACAGAGAGAAAUUUCUGCUAAUACCGCAUAAGCACACACUGCCGCAUGGCAGAGGGUGAAAAGAGAAUCGCUAUGAGAUGGACCCGCGUCUGAUUAGCCAGUUGGCAGGGUAAGAGCCUACCAAAGCGACGAUCAGUAGCCGAUCUGAGAGGAUGAACGGCCACAUUGGGACUGAGACACGGCCCAAACUCCUACGGGAGGCAGCAGUGGGGGAUAUUGCACAAUGGGGGGAACCCUGAUGCAGCGACGCCGCGUGAGUGAAGAAGUAUUUCGGUAUGUAAAGCUCUAUCAGCAGGGAAGAUAAUGACAGUACCUGAAUAAGAAGCCCCGGCUAACUACGUG